GGUGCUGCACGGCUGUCGUCAGCUCGUGUCGUGAGAUGUUGGGUUAAGUCCCGCAACGAGCGCAACCCUUGCCCUUAGUUACCAUCAUUUAGUUGGGGACUCUAAGGGGACUGCCGGUGAUAAACCGGAGGAAGGUGGGGACGACGUCAAGUCAUCAUGGCCCUUAUGACCGGGGCUACACACGUACUACAAUGGUCGGUACAGACGGUCGCAAGCUCGCGAGAGUAAGCUAAUCCGAGAAAACCGAUCGUAGUCCGGAUCGCAGUCUGCAACUCGACUGCGUGAAGUCGGAAUCGCUAGUAAUCGCAAAUCAGAAUGUUGCGGUGAAUACGUUCCCGGGCCUU
rnacentral:rRNA from 1 species